rnacentral:rRNA from 1 species
GACGAACGCUGGCGGCGUGCUUAACACAUGCAAGUCGAACGGUGAAGCGCCUUCCUUUUUGGUGGGUGUGGAUGAGUGGCGAACGGGUGAGUAACACGUGAGUAACCUGCCCCCUUCUUCUGGAUAACCGCAUGAAAGUGUGGCUAAUACGGGAUAUUCUGGGUCUGUCGCAUGAUGGGUCUGGGAAAGAUAUUGUUUCGGUGGGGGAUGGGCUCGCGGCCUAUCAGCUUGUUGGUGGGGUGAUGGCCUACCAAGGCGGUGACGGGUAGCCGGCCUGGGGGGGUGGACGGUCACACUGGGACUGAGACACGGCCCAGACUCCUACGGCAGGCAGCAGUGGGGAAUAUUGCACAAUGGGCGCAAGCCUGAUGCAGCGACGCCGCGUGAGGGAUGGAGGCCUUCGGGUUGUGAACCUCUUUCGCCAGUGAAGCAGGCCUGCCUCGUUUGUGGGUGGGUUGACGGUAGCUGGAUAAGAAGCGCCGGCUAACUACGUG